CGGACCUGACUGCUAUCGGAUUGCAUAAAGACCAUGCGAGUCAUUGUAGCAAUACAAGGCAUACGGCUCAGUAACGCGUAGUCAACCUAACCUAUGGACGGGAAUAACCUCGGGAAACUGAGAAUAAUGCCCGAUAGAACAUUAUGCCUGGAAUGGUUUAUGUUCCAAAUGAUUUAUCGCCGUAGGAUGGGACUGCGGCCUAUCAGUUUGUUGGUGAGGUAAUGGCCCACCAAGACUAUUACAGGUACGGGCUCUGAGAGGAGUAGCCCGGAGAUGGGUACUGAGACACGGACCCAGGCCCUAUGGGGCGCAGCAGGCGAGAAAACUUUGCAAUGUGCGAAAGCACGACAAGGUUAAUCCGAGUGGUUUCUGCUAAAGGAACCUUUUGUCAGUCCUAGAAACACUGAUGAAUAAGGGGUGGGCAAGUUCUGGUGUCAGCCGCCGCGGUAAAACCAGCACCUCAAGUGGUCAGGAUGAUUAUUGGGCCUAAAGCAUCCGUAGCCGGCUCUGUAAGUUUUCGGUUAAAUCUGUACGCUCAACGUACAGGCUGCCGGGAAUACUGCAAAGCUAGGGAGUGGGAGAGGUAGACGGUACUCGGUAGGAAGGGGUAAAAUCCUUUGAUCUAUUGAUGACCACCUGUGGCGAAGGCGGUCUACCAGAACACGUCCGACGGUGAGGGAUGAAAGCUGGGGGAGCAAACCGGAUUAGAUACCCGGGUAGUCCCAGCUGUAAACCAUGCAAACUCAGUGAUGCAUUGGCUUGUGGCCAAUGCAGUGCUGCAGGGAAGCCGUUAAGUUUGCCGCCCGGGAAGUACGUACGCAAGUAUGAAACUUAAAGGAAUUGGCGGGG
rnacentral:rRNA from 1 species